rnacentral:rRNA from 1 species
AUGCCGCCGCCACUCUCCUUCCUCCACCCACCGCCCAACCCGCCAGUCCUCCACCCCUCCCCCUUCCACCACCGAGCCCCCCACCGCCUCUCCCUCCGCGCCGAUCCCCCACUCCGAGCGGCGGCGGCGACGGCGGCAGCGGCCGAGAACCCGUACUCGGCGGCGCCCACUGCGGCGGACGUCGAGAUGUUCCGCGGCGGGGACGGCGUGUGGACGGCGCGGAGCCCGACGGUGGUGGUGCUGUGGGACCUCGACAACAAGCCCCCGCGCGGGCCGCCCUUCGAGGCGGCCACCUCCCUCCGCGAGGCGGCGUCCCUCCUCGGCCGCGUCGACUCCGUCUCCGCCUUCGCCAACCGCCACGCCUUCACCCACCUCCCCGCCUGGGUCUCCGCCGACCGCCGCGAGCGCCGCGCCCUCGACCGCGCCGAGCGCACGGGCGCCGCCGCCCCGCCCGUCCCCUACUCCUGCGCCGUCUGCGGCCGCCGCUUCCCCACCCGCCCCGACCUCGCCCGCCACUUCCGCCAGCUCCACGAGCGCGAGCGCAACAAGAAGCUCGGCCGCCUCCGCUCCCUCAAGGGCAAGAAGCGCCAGAAGUUCCGCGAGCGCUACAUCUCCAACAACACCAAGUACCAGGACGCCGCGCGGGAGCUCCUCACCCCCAAGGUCGGCUACGGGCUCGAUUCCGAGCUCCGGCGCGCCGGCGUCCAUGUCCGCACCGUCCCUGACAAGCCGCAGGCUGCCGACCAGGCGCUCAAACGCCAGGUGAAGCACGCCAUCGCCUGCGGCGUCGACUGGGUCGUGCUCGUCUCCGAUGACUCCGACUUCACCGACACGGUGCGUAAUGCACGCGCUGCCGCCCUGAGGAUGGUCGUGGUUGGGGACGGGUGCCGCGCUCUCGGGAAGGUUGCUGAUAUCUGGCUGCCUUGGGACAGCGUGCAAAACGGGGAGGUUGAUGAGGAGAUGAUGCGGAGUGGGAAGGUUCCAGAGUUUAGAUACGAAGAGCACGAUGAGCAAUAUGAUGAUGAUGAGUUUAUAGUGGAUUGGGAUACGAAUGAAUUGGAUGAUGUUGUUGAUGACAUUGUUACAAGCAGGACCAAAGUUUUUGGUUCUACAACAAUGUCUGCAUUUGCCGAAGAGGACAUUGUUGAUGGUAUUUUGGGGCUUAGACAUAAGGAGGAUGACAUGCUUUGGAGUAGCGACGACGAGGAUGAGGACGGUUAUUUGUGA